rnacentral:rRNA from 1 species
CUUGGAGGUUGUGGCCUUGAGCCGUGGCUUUCGGAGCUAACGCGUUAAGUAGACCGCCUGGGGAGUACGGUCGCAAGAUUAAAACUCAAAUGAAUUGACGGGGGCCCGCACAAGCGGUGGAGCAUGUGGUUUAAUUCGAUGCAACGCGAAGAACCUUACCUACUCUUGACAUCCAGAGAACUUUCCAGAGAUGGAUUGGUGCCUUCGGGAACUCUGAGACAGGUGCUGCAUGGCUGUCGUCAGCUCGUGUCGUGAGAUGUU